rnacentral:lncRNA from 1 species
GCCUAUAAAUACAUGAGGUAUUGACCACAUACAAGACAACGAAAAAAAUAAGAAUCAUCUCUCCACAAAAAUUCUCUCUCUUUGGUUCGCUCUAGGGCACCAUCAUAAAUCCUAGGGAUUUGGGCGGUGUGCGGCAAUCGACUCUAGUAGCCGGAUUGCAACGAGAAAGAACAACACGCAACAAAUUGAGACAGGACGUUGGCGGAUCAACGAGUUCGUAAAACAAGACGAGAUCAGAUCCUGGUAAUCACAACAUUAAUUCCGCACCACAAAAGAGGUAUGUAAAAAUCUAUGAGAUUUUUGCGACUUAUAUUUUUGGAUAUUUAAUUGAUUUUAUCCAACAGUGGUAUCAGAGCCAUAUAGUGCUUGUUUUCGUUCGAUGAUUCGUUUUUUUUUUAACAUCGAAUAUAUUUUUAUGUUGUUAAAAAAAAAAAAAAAAAAAUUAUUGUUGGUGAAGUUUUGAUUCGCAAUUGGCAAAUCAACAUCACAUAUGAUUGCUUCCUUCAUCUUUGCAAAUUAACCCGCAUGCUGCCCGCUUUGGGUUUUGGAGGCUAACCCGUGCCGGGCUUGCGGAGGGCCGCAUGCGCAGGAUCUACGUCCUGCCUGUGGGCUUGAGAGGCCGCCCACGCUGGGCCUCCAGCACCUGCCCGUGUAGGGCCUUCGGCAGUCCGCAUGCACAAGGCCUGCGGCAGCCAGCAUGCGCAAGACCUGCGGCCUUGUGAGGCCGACCGCGCUGGGCUUACUAGGUGGCCCACCCUUGUUGGGCCUGCGGGAAUGCAGGAGCCCAUCGCGGAAGACCCGCUCGAGUUGGGCCUACGGGCAUGCGGGAGCCCGUCCGCGAUGGGCCUGCAUGCAAGCACAUGACAGCAACCUGUUUUUUGGACCAAGAUAAGUCCAACCGGCGGCUUGGAAUCUUUAUGUGCUUGCAAAAUAAAAUAAAAUGUGAAACUAUGUUGGCAGGAGACUUGAACACUCAACCCUUAACUUUAGGCACUUCAUCUAACUACUACGCUCAAUGUUGCUUGCAUAAUAUUUACAUGCUAUUUUUAUAUAUUGUUUCUGGCCAAGUUAUGAUUGCUUUAAAGUUGCAAUAUUUUUUUUUGAUUAAAUAGCAUAAUGUUCAUUAUUUAUUUUGUGACGUGGAUUAUUCUUGAUUAAUUUGAUAUAUUAUUUUUAUCUGCAUUGGAUGAGAUGAUUAUUAGUCUUUUUAAAAGGCGAAAUUUUCGAUUUGAAGAUGCAGUGAGAAAUUAUAUUAUCAAAUUGAAUUGAGAAUAAGAUUUGGAUAUUUGUGCCUAAUUUAAAAUCAUGUGCAUUAUUGUAGUGAUAUAUGGCUUCAAAAAAUUUUUCCAUCGCGGAUUCGUUAAAUCAAAAUCGGCUUGAUGGAACGAAUUAUGACAUGUGGCAUAGAAAAAUUCAAUAUCUCCUUAAUGAGAAAGGGAUACUUAGCCAUUUAACCAACAGUAUGGUUCGGCCUGAAGAAGGCACGACGGCCCAGCACCGUCGCGAUUUACAAGCCUAUAACGAGUGGCUUGAGAAAGAUCGAAGUGCACGAUAUACCAUGUUGAGCUGUAUGCACGAUGAUUUGAUCAAAGAAUUUGAAAAUUAUGAGACUGCUAAAAAUAUGUGGGAGCAGCUCAAAGUGAAAUAUGGGGGCACGUCGACCACAAGACUUCGUGUCUUGAAUCUCAAAUUCAAUCAAUACAUGUUGGACCCAAAGCAUUCUAUGGCAGAGCACUUAAGGGUGAUGUCUGCAAUGAUAAGAGAACUUAAAGCAGCCGGUUGCGAGCUCACUGACGAACAACAGGUUCAAUCAGUUAUAAGGUCCUUACCAGAUUCAUCUUGGGAUCAAAUCAAGAUUGUGCUGACUCAUAAUGAAGGUAUUAAGACCUUCAACGAUAUAUCUCGACAUCUUGAGUUGGAAGCGGAGCGCAGAGAGGCGAACCGUGCCAAUGCACUCGUUGCCCACGGUGGACAGCGCAGAGGCAAGUGGCCUAAGCACAAGCGCCGAAAUGGAGAAAAUAAAUAUGCAAAGACUGGGAACCGUGCGCCAAAUGAGGGCGGAAUUGAGAAGCGCCGCAAAGGCAGGCGCGGAAAGAAAAAUUUAAAUAAAGUGAAAUGCUAUAACUGUGGAAAUAUGGGACACUUCGCUCGUGAUUGCACUGAGCCGAAGAAGGUAAAUCCCAAUCCUGACUCUCUUAUUUAUGUAUGCUCGCACGUUUUUGUUGCUCACGCUCUCUCUGAUUGGAUUGUAGACACAGGAGCAACAAAGCAUGUAACGAGAGAUCGAGCAGGAUAUGUGGAUUAUCGUCGGGUGUCUGCUGGCAGCCAUUAUGUCAUGAUGGGAAACGGCACUGAGGAAGAAGUCCUUGGAAUUGGCGCAUACCAACUUAGAUUGCGCAAUGGUCGUUAUUUGAUAUUACACGAUGUGCUGUAUGCACCGAACAUCCGAUGUAAUCUACUGUCAGUUUUAGCGUUACUUAGAUUAGGUUUUUCUUUUCAAUUUACGGAUACUCAGUUAGAUAUUUAUUUGGGCAAGGACUUUUAUGGUAAUGGUUGUUUAAAGAAUGAUUUCUUUGUCUUAAAUUUAGACUUGGAUUUUAUUAAUAACAAUAAUUCUGCUUUAUUAGUUUCUUCUGAUAUUGUAUCUGAUUCUAUCAAAUGGCAUGCGAGAUUGGGUCACAUUGGACAAGAAAGAAUGGCUCGACUAGCUAGAGAAGGCCUGUUGGGGUCACUCGCUAAGCUUAGCCUACCUCCUUGUGAACCAUGUUUAGCAGGAAAAGCCUGCAGAAAGCCUUUUGGUAAGGCACGUAGAGCAACUCAUCCAUUGGAGCUAGUUCAUUCAGACAUAUGCGGACCUAUGAAUGUGAGAGCACGUCAUGGCGCGUACUAUUUCCUCACUUUCAUUGAUGACUACUCCCGUUAUAGUUCGGUAUAUCUGUUGUCUCACCGUUCAGAAGCUUUAGAUUAUUUUAAACGCUUCUUAGUGGAGGUUGAGAACCAAACAGAAAGAACUCUAAAAGUUCUACGUACUGAUAGAGGACGAGAGUAUUUAUCAGACCAGUUCAGGGAACUAUGUGAGGAAAAGGGAAUACGCAGACAGUUAACUAUUCCCGGUACUCCGCAACAAAAUGGUGUUGCAGAGAGGAGGAAUAGGACUCUUUUGGAAAUGGUUAGGUCUAUGAUGGCGCAAGCCAACCUCCCAAUCAGUUUUUGGGGUGAUGCGUUGUUGACUGCUGCCUAUAUACUUAACCGAGUGCCCUCUAAGUCAGUUCCUUCAACUCCCUAUGAGCUAUGGCAUGGUAUAAAGCCAAAUUUGGAAGGCUUACGACCAUGGGGAUCGGCAGGAUAUGUGCAUAAUACUUCUCAUAAAUAUGGAAAGUUAGGCCCUAGAGCAAAUAAACAAAUUUUUAUUAGAUAUUCUGAUUGCUCGAAAGGCUAUGUGAUGUAUGGUAAGCAUCCUGAUGGAGGAAUGACUGAGAUAGAGUCGCGCGAUGUGGAUUUUCUUGAGAAUGAUUUUCCAGACAUUGGUGAGAUUAAAAAGGACCUUGCACUAUACGAGUUGCAAGAACCUAAUGGAAAUGUCCCAUUGUUAGGCGAGAAUGAGGCACUGAGGCCACAUGAAGAAAUAGCCCAAAACAGUGGGAGUGAUCCUAUGGUCAGUGGGAGUGUGCCGAUUGACCAUGGCUCACAAAGUCCAUCAUUACGAAGAAGUAAACGUGGAGGUGUUCCCCGUCGUCGAUUUGAGAUUGAAGGGGAAUCGUUCAUGUGUGCUUCUACGGAUCUUGAUGAGCCGGCUUCUUAUGCUGAAGCUUUGAAUUCACCAGUUUGUGAUAAAUGGCUAGCUGCUAUGGAGGAUGAGAUGAGUUCUAUGGCUAAGAAUAAUGUGUGGGAGUUAGUUGAUCUUCCGUCUGGACGCAAAACUAUUGGAAAUAAAUGGAUUUUUAAAAUAAAACGUAAGGCGGAUGGAUCAAUUGACAAAUAUAAGGCCCGAUUAGUGGCGAAAGGAUACACCCAAAAGGAGGGAGUAGACUAUGAAGAGACAUUCUCCCCAGUGGUGAGGUUUGUCUCAAUUCGCCUGAUUCUGGCUAUCGUCGCACAUUUAGAUUUGGAACUGUUCCAAAUGGAUGUGAAGACUGCAUUUCUCAAUGGAGAACUAGAUGAGGAGAUUUAUAUGAAUCAACCUCCCGGUUUUAUAGCCGAAGGACAAGAGCGCAAAGUGUGCCGCUUAAAACGUUCCAUUUACGGCUUGAAACAAUCGUCUAGGCAAUGGUAUCAACGUUUUCAUAGAGCAAUUAUUUCAAUAGGCUUUGUGAUGAUCGAAGAAGACCAUUGCGUGUACGUUAAAAGGGAAGAAAAGAGUUUUCUUAUCCUAUAUGUAGACGAUAUCUUGUUGGCCGGAAAUAAUAUGGAGUUAAUAAUCACCACACAGGAGUGGUUGUCCUCUACUUUUGAGAUGAAGGACAUGGGACAAGCGGAUUAUGUAUUGGGAGUCAAGAUCCAUAGGGAUCGAUCUCGAAAAUUCUUAAGUUUGUCUCAAGAGACUUACAUCAAAAGAAUUUUGAAGCGAUUCCGAAUGCAUAAUUUGAAACCUAUUGACACUCCAAUGGAAAAUGGUCAUUAUCUUAGCCUUGAACAGUGCCUUAAAACAGAAGAAGAGAGAAAGCAGAUGAAAAAAGUCCCAUAUGCGAGUGCAGUCGGCAGCUUGAUGUAUGCAAUGAUAUGAUAGCAGAUCCUUUUACCAAACCCCUUGUUAGAAAUGUUUUUCAUAAACAUGUUAGAGGAUUGGGUUUGUGUAGGACUUGACUUUUAUCUUGUAUUAAUAAUUUUGCUAAUAAAUUUUUUUUUGAAAUCAUUUUUCAUUUAUAUACCUGUUUAUUAAAUUUUAAAUUAGUGCACAAUAUUCUUAUGAGAAUGAAUGUCACCAGGCCCUUGAUCAGCCCUCUCACACGGGUGAUCGCCCUGUCGCUAGGAGAGCGAGCAGGAUGAGACAAAUAAGAUCACAUAAAUGCAGUUAGUAAUGCAGGUGAUCCACUUUGCGCUAUAAGAGCUGGCGAGUGUUUAAAUCUUGAAUGUCGCCUUAGAUGAGCUAAGAUGAGACUGUACGAAGUCGACAGUAGAGAUGGUCCACGACUCUACUUGGCCUGUAUGAAGCCGAAUGUAAAGAAGACACCAUGUGGGUGACUGUCUUGAGGUUUGUUGUCUUGAGUUACAACAAAACCGACAUUCGUAUGGUGUUUUGAGCGUGACAUGUCCUUAGAGGUAGCUCCACCAUAGCAUACGUUCAUACCGUAUGUGCAAGAUCGAUCACUAUGUUUUAGAGAGUGACGAAAUUGAUUCCCGUUUCGUCGCUGUGUGAGCUUUCAUACCCUUUGGGACUUAGAACCAUGUUAUGAAGUGGAUACUUGGUGAUGCUACUUUAGCAUGAUAUCCAAGGGCCAUGAUUGAUUCGGUCCAGCGGAACAUGUCUAGGAAAGCAGUCAAGUUGAAAUGGAUUGACAUGAGGCAUCUAAGGAAAAAUCAUUUGAUAAUACACCUAUGAUUUGUUACUCAUUGCCCGGGCGAUUAUGUUGAUAUUUGUUGUCAAUAUAAUCAUGAGAACAAAUACAUUAAUGAGAGAGAUCUAGUUUGCUCUAAGGGAUCAGAGAUGCUAUGAUCUGGUGUAGUUCAGUGAUUUGGGGUAUAGACGAGAUUUGGAGUUGUAGUGUUAUGUUAGUUCGGAUGGUGGCUUAAUAUAACACUCCUCAUUUAUGAUUCUUCUCGUUAUUGAUCGCACCAACCAUUUCCCGUAUGAAGAGCAGAACGAGAUGAGAAUAUAUCAGGGAUGAGAAAGUAUGAAUAAGUACCAAGUGUGUACGAGUGGGAGAUGUUAGGAUUCGUCCACAUUGGGACUUAUCUAAAAUAUUUCUAAUCCAUAUGGGAUAAGAAAUAAAUAUUUAUAAUUAUCUGUUAUAUUCCUAGUCCACUUGGGAUAAGGAAUAAAUCUAACAGAUAAAUCCUAAUCUGUUUAAAUCUCUAUCUAUGUGAGAUUUAGUUAGGAUAUGAUUAGGAUUAAUAUCUCCCUUAUGGCCUAUAAAUACAUGAGGUAUUGACCACAUACAAGACAACGAAAAAAAUAAGAAUCAUCUCUCCACAAAAAUUCUCUCUCUUUGGUUCGCUCUAGGGCACCAUCAUAAAUCCUAGGGAUUUGGGCGGUGUGCGGCAAUCGACUCUAGUAGUCGGAUUGCAACGAGAAAGAACAAUACGCAACAAAUUGAGACAGGACGUUGGCGGAUCAACGAGUUCGUAAAACAAGACGAGAUCAGAUCCUGGUAAUCACAACAUUAAUUCCGCACCACAAAAGAGGUAUGUAAAAAUCUAUAAGAUUUUUGCGACUUAUAUUUUUGGAUAUUUAAUUGAUUUUAUUCAACAGGCUUGUUAUUACUGAUAUGGUGCAAGUGUGAUAUAGUAGACUUCCUCCCCAAGAAGCUAGUCUUCAGUGCAUUAAAGAA